AGAGUUUGAUCCUGGCUCAGAUUGAACGCUGGCGGUAUGCUUAACACAUGCAAGUCGAACGGAAACGAUACUAGCUUGCUAGUAGGCGUCGAGUGGCGGACGGGUGAGUAACGCGUAGGAAUCUGCCUGAUAGUGGGGGAUAGCCCGAAGAAAUUCGGAUUAAUACCGCAUAAUCUAUUCGUAGUAAAGUGGGGGACUUUUAAGCCUCACGCUAUCAGAUGAGCCUGCGUAAGAUUAGCUAGUUGGUAGGGUAAAAGCCUACCAAGGCAACGAUCUUUAGCUGGUCUGAGAGGAUGAUCAGCCACAUCGGGACUGAGACACGGCCCGAACUCCUACGGGAGGCAGCAGUGGGGAAUAUUGGACAAUGGGGGCAACCCUGAUCCAGCAAUACCGCGUGUGUGAAGAAGGCCUGAGGGUUGUAAAGCACUUUCAAUUGUGAAGAAAAGUUAACGGUUAAUAACCGUUAGCCUUGACGUUAACUUUAGAAGAAGCACCGGCUAACUCCGUGCCAGCAGCCGCGGUAAUACGGAGGGUGCAAGCGUUAAUCGGAAUUACUGGGCGUAAAGCGUGCGUAGGCGGUUUAUUAAGUCAGAUGUGAAAGCCCCGGGCUUAACCUGGGAACUGCAUUUGAAACUGGUCAACUAGAGUAUGGUAGAGGAAAGUGGAAUUUCUGGUGUAGCGGUGAAAUGCGUAGAUAUCAGAAGGAACAUCAAUGGCGAAGGCAGCUUUCUGGACCAAUACUGACGCUGAGGUACGAAAGCGUGGGUAGCAAACAGGAUUAGAUACCCUGGUAGUCCACGCCGUAAACGAUGAUAACUAGCCGUUGGGGGGAUUUACCCUUUAGUGGCGAAGCUAACGCGUUAAGUUAUCCGCCUGGGGAGUACGGCCGCAAGGUUAAAACUCAAAGGAAUUGACGGGGACCCGCACAAGCGGUGGAGCAUGUGGUUUAAUUCGAUGCAACGCGAAGAACCUUACCUGGUCUUGACAUCCUGCGAACUUUCUAGAAAUAGAUUGGUGCCUUCGGGAACGCAGUGACAGGUGCUGCAUGGCUGUCGUCAGCUCGUGUCGUGAGAUGUUGGGUUAAGUCCCGUAACGAGCGCAACCCCUAUCCUUAUUUGCCAGCACGUCAUGGUGGGAACUAUAAGGAGACUGCCGGUGAUAAACCGGAGGAAGGCGGGGACGACGUCAAGUCAUCAUGGCCCUUACGACCAGGGCUACACACGUGCUACAAUGGGAAGGACAAAGAGCCGCGAAGCCGCGAGGUGUAGCUAAUCUCAGAAACCUUUUCGUAGUCCGGAUUGGAGUCUGCAACUCGACUCCAUGAAGUCGGAAUCGCUAGUAAUCGUAGAUCAGAAUGCUACGGUGAAUACGUUCCCGGGUCUUGUACACACCGCCCGUCAUACCAUGGGAGUGGGUUGCACCAGAAGUGGUUAGUCUAACUUAGUGAGGACGGUCACCACGGUGUGAUUCAUGACUGGGGUAAAGUCGUAACAAGGUAACC
rnacentral:rRNA from 1 species